GCAGAGAGCAGACUUCCGGGAGCCACUGUCUUGUUCUGGCCAUCCGUCAUAUUCUGCGGCUUCUCAAUGCCUCCAUGUGUUAAAUUCGUUAACGAGGAAGUGAACGCAGCAGCUGCCGAAACCAAAGAACUCUGUGAACUGGACUCUGGGUCUCCACUCUAGAAUCGCAGAAGGUGCAUUAUUACUUCUCAUGAAGUAAUUGACAGUGAUACAUCGAGGAGACCUCAUGGACUGCAGUUGACACCUGGCGGCUUCCUGCCAUCUGGAAAAACCUCAAUGUCCUCAGCUGGGCAGCUAAGGCCUUUUGGGAUGAGGCUGGAGAGUGAGUCAUCAGGCCACGAAGUCCCACAUGUCCCUUGAAUGACUGUUGUCAUCUCUGGCUUCUAAGCCUUUGCCUGGAUGGCCUGUUAUGUCACCCCAUCCUGCUGGAAGUCCCCAUUCAGCCCUCAGUUUUCCAGUGGAACCUUCUCUCAUCUUCCUGCUUCCCAUUCUUCAUCCCUAGGUCUUUCCUGCCUCUGCCAAAGCAAUGACCUGGUAACUCUUGCAUGUCUGGAAGAUACUCCAAAAAAUCACUAGAUUAGCAAAUAAAUUUCUCCUGUCAACUACCAAAAUUGUGAGGCUAUUAGGUUCUGUGCUUUCUCUAAGGACAUCAGGU
rnacentral:lncRNA from 1 species